rnacentral:rRNA from 1 species
UGGGGAAUUUUGGACAAUGGGCGAAAGCCUGAUCCAGCAAUGCCGCGUGUGUGAAGAAGGCCUUCGGGUUGUAAAGCACUUUUGUCCGGAAAGAAAUCCUUGGCUCUAAUACAGUCGGGGGAUGACGGUACCGGAAGAAUAAGCACCGGCUAACUACGUGCCAGCAGCCGCGGUAAUACGUAGGGUGCAAGCGUUAAUCGGAAUUACUGGGCGUAAAGCGUGCGCAGGCGGUUUGCUAAGACCGAUGUGAAAUCCCCGGGCUCAACCUGGGAACUGCAUUGGUGACUGGCAGGCUAGAGUAUGGCAGAGGGGGGUAGAAUUCCACGUGUAGCAGUGAAAUGCGUAGAGAUGUGGAGGAAUACCGAUGGCGAAGGCAGCCCCCUGGGCCAAUACUGACGCUCAUGCGCGAAAGCGUGGGGAGCAAACAGGAUUAGAUACCCUGGUAGUCCACGCCCUAAACGAUGUCAACUAGUUGUUGGGGAUUCAUUCCUUAGUAACGUAGCUAACGCGUGAAGUUGACCGCCUGGGGAGUACGGUCGCAAGAUUAAAACUCAAAGGAAUUGACGGGGUCAUAGCUGUUUCCU